CGAACGCUGGCGGCGUGCUUACCACAUGCAAGUCGAACGGCAAGGCCCUGCUUGCAGGGUACUCGAGUGGCGAACGGGUGAGUAACACGUGGGUGAUCUGCCCUGCACUUCGGGAUAAGCUUGGGAAACUGGGUCUAAUACCGGAUAGGAGCCAUCUUUAGUGUGGUGGUUGGAAAGUUUUUUCGGUGUAGGAUGAGCUCGCGGCCUAUCAGCUUGUUGGUGGGGUAAUGGCCUACCAAGGCGGCGACGGGUAGCCGGCCUGAGAGGGUGUACGGCCACAUUGGGACUGAGAUACGGCCCAGACUCCUACGGGAGGCAGCAGUGGGGAAUAUUGCACAAUGGGCGCAAGCCUGAUGCAGCGACGCCGCGUGGGGGAUGAAGGCCUUCGGGUUGUAAACUCCUUUCGCUAGGGACGAAGCUUUUUUGUGACGGUACCUAGAGAAGAAGCACCGGCUAACUACGUG
rnacentral:rRNA from 1 species